rnacentral:lncRNA from 1 species
CACAACGGACAGGUUGUCUCAUAGCUUUUUGCCCUUGUGCCAUAUUUUUAAAAUCAGGCAUACUGAUAGCACAACUUUUUUUAAGCAGAUAUAUCACCGCCUCUCCAGACAUUAAAUGGAUCCAUCGAGCCGGAACAUGAAUAUGAUGCUAGCUUGUUCCAACCUGCACACCCUGAUUUACAAGAAUAUGAUGAAGAAGAAGGUGGGUUUAUUUAUAAUUCAUAUAUCAAUUACUUUUUUUACCAAUGCUGAUGCCAUCCUGCCAUGCACCAUGUAACAGAUCACCUGGAAGACAUGGAAGAUGAGAUUGAGGACGAUGAAACUAGGCAAUUUUGUGGGGAAGGUACCUCUUUCGUAAAUUGUACCCGGAAUCAUCGUGUCUUAAAAUUUUAGUAAAAUUUACUAUGUGUAUUCAAAGAAAUUUCAUACCUUUCAUGCAGAAGAAGGGUUCGAGUCAUACCGUAUAUAUGCCAAUGGCACUGCUGAUAAUGACACGGAUGAUCCUUACGAC